UACUGGGAGGAAAGAAAAAGAGAAAAUGAAAGCCAGUGAGUCAGUUCUGAGAUGGUGAGCAGAACAAAUGUCGCCUGUGUAACCUGCCUCUCUCCUAUAGGUGCGAUCCUGAGGAGUUGUAUAUAAGAAAUUAACUCAUACGUCACCCAGAAGAGCCAUGUGAUCUUCAGUUUGCAUUGUGGACAUUUCCUCAGACCCACUUGGUUUGACUGGGAGAAGAGCAUUCCCAAAAGAUUUUUUACAGACAUUACUGCAUUUCAUUGGGGAUACGGAGCUUCACACAUGGAG